GGCGGUUCUCAGGUGACGCACCCUGGAAUUGGGCUCCCUCCUCUCUGGUUCCAGGUGUGUCACCCAAGAACUGCU
rfam:Myotis brandtii contig271700, whole genome shotgun sequence.